ACCUCCGUGGCGCAAUGGACUAGCGCAUUGGACUUCUAAUUCAAAGGUUGUGGGUUCGAGUCCCACCGGAGGUG
rnacentral:tRNA from 2 species